rnacentral:rRNA from 1 species
CAGUAGCCGCGGGAAUACGAAGGGUGCAAGCGUUAAUCGGAAUUACUGGGCGUAAAGCGUGCGUAGGCGGUUUGUUAAGUCUGUUGUGAAAUCCCCGGGCUUAACCUGGGAAUGGCAAUGGAUACUGGCAAGCUAGAGUGUGUCAGAGGAUGGUGGAAUUCCCGGUGUAGCGGUGAAAUGCGUAGAGAUCGGGAGGAACAUCAGUGGCGAAGGCGGCCAUCUGGGACAACACUGACGCUGAGGCACGAAAGCGUGGGGAGCAAACAGGAUUAGAUACCCGUGUAGUCCCUGUCUCUUAUAC